GCCACAUCAUAUUGAAACACUGCUUCCCAUACAAUCACCAAAGUUAAGCAAUGCUGAGCCUGGUCAGUACUUGGAUAGGUGACCACUUGAGAAUAUCAA